GACGAACGCUUGCGGCGUGCCUGAGAAAUGCAAGUCGAGCGGGGUGUAGCAAUACACCUAGCGGCGAACGGUCGAGUAACACGUAAGCAACCUGCCCUGCAGUGGGGGAUAACAGCGGGAAACUGCUGCUAAUACCGCAUAGGCAUAUUUCUGGGCAUCCAGGGAUGUGUAAAGGCUAGACUGCUGCAGGAGGGGCUUGCGGCCUAUUAGCUAGUCGGUGGGGUAACGGCCUACCGAGGCGACGAUGGGUAGCUGGUCUGAGAGGAUGGUCAGCCGGAUCGGGACUGAGACACGGCCCGGACUCCUACGGGGGGCAGCAAUCAGGAAUAUUGCGCAAUGGGGGAAACCCUGACGCAGCAACGCCGCGUGCGGGAUGAAGGCCUUCGGGUCGUAAACCGCUGUUGUGGAGACGAAUGACUGUCGAUGAGGCAGUGGAGACGGUAUCUCACGAGGAAGCCCCGGCUAACUACGUGCCAGCAGCCGCGGUAAA
rnacentral:rRNA from 1 species